GACGAACGCUGGCGGCGUGCCUAAUACAUGCAAGUAGGACGCAGUUGCGAACGGGUGAGUAACGAGAAGGUAACUACAUAUUAGAGGGGGAUAACUAUUGGAAACGCUAGCUAAUACAGCAUCCUAGUAGAUGGACCAGCGUUGUAUUAGCUAGUAGGUAGGGUAAUGGCCUACCUAGGCAACGAUACAUAGCCGACCGUAGAGGGUGAGCGGCUAAACUGGGACUGAGACACGUCCCAGACUCCUACGGGAGGCAGCAGUAGGGAAUCUUCGGCAAUUGGGGGAAUCCGGACCGAGCAACGCCGCGUGAGUGAAGAAGGUUUUCGGAUCGUAAAGCUCUGUUGUUAAGGAAGCGGUACUUAACCAGAAAGGGACGGCUAACUACGUGCCAGCGGCCGCGGUAAUUC
rnacentral:rRNA from 1 species